rnacentral:lncRNA from 1 species
AUAAAACGAGGAGGGAACAGUUAGUAUAUCUGUACGAAUUUUUUGUUUUCCAAUUUUACAUUUGUUCUACAUCUGUCAUCUACAUCUACAUCAAUUCUCUCGCCAACACUUUUUGUUAGCUCACCACACUUCCCCAGUUACACACACGAGGCAGCGAGUGCGAGCGAGAAAGAAUGACAACACCCUGCUGGACACGAUGGGGUAAGCCAAUGCAAAUUAAUUUCUUCAUUUAGGCUACAAUAAUGCUCCAAUCGAAUCCCCAUUCGGUGUUCUUUUAGAUAUGGUCAUUCCCCAAGGAAUUCCAUUUAGAUCUCUCUUAUCUUCCAAACUGUGGAUACAGAAGAUUUUAGCCCGUUGUGAAGGCGAAAAUACUAUUGUUUCAGUGUUAUAUCACAGAAGUCUAGAGGCACAAUACGGUGGCUCUAGCUUUAUAAUCUCUGAUAACUAGCCGACAAACUAGACGGGCGGACGGACGGACAGAUAGACGGACAGACAGGCAGAUAUAGCAACUUUAUGGGGUCGGAAACGAUUCCUUCUGUGCGUUACAUACAUCCAAUUUCGAGCACAAAUACAAUAUACUCUAUUUAUUCUUCGAGUACCGGGUAUACCAACAAAACAAUGAAAACAGCUGCCUAAAUUAAACAUUUAAUACCCUACCAGAGCAGGGUAAUUGUUGCUUAAUUAUUUUAUAUAAAGUUGAGAAUCCGCUUAAAGCAGUCAGCUGGAAAGCCUCAAAAUGGAGGGACUCCUUUCCGUAAAAAAAUAAUAUUUAUGCUUCUCUGCGUGGUUAACUUCACCAAAAAUCAUGAAUAUGCUCUGCAAAAGUAUAAACAUUAGCUGCAACUAAAAACGGUUUUUGUUACGAGUAUUUGUAUUUGAAUUUUGAUUAUAUAAUUUGUUUGCUAAUUUUAUUUGUUAAAUAUGUAAAUUUUUUUUGGUUUUUUCGUGUUUGGGUUAAUUUUAUUUCUUGUCUAUUCGUCUGUCCAUCUUGAUGAGCACCUAAUCCUCAGAGACCAAAAGAGCUAGAGCAACCAACCAUCCAGACUUCUGUUACAAGUGAGUUUCACAAUUUCGCCCUGCCCCCUCCCGACACCACAAAAGGCGAAAAUCCAUUUCCUCAAUUUUCAAGAUAAGAGAAAGCUAAAAACUAAGUUCCGUAGAGAAUGGAAUAUAUCUAUCAGAUCCCCGAAUUAAAAUCGACUCGGAUCACUCAGGUUAUAGCCAGAAUCAUUUGCAGUGUCUUCCCCCACCCAUUCCAACAUCUCUGCCUAUGCUUGCUUGUUGUCAUUCUUGUCAUUGUUGUCAAUCAGACCAUUUCAGGAAAAGUUGCAUUGGUUCCUUGAGGGGAAAUCGUGUUGGGUAGUGUAAUCACAGUGGUUGGCAGAUCAUAGUACAUACAUACAUACAUACGUAUGUAAAUAUGCAUGAAACAUAAAAUGUGUACUUUCCCCAUAUAUUUGCGUGGGCUUAACUGUUGUGAUUAAAUGCUAAAUGUUGUGUUCUCUCUUUUUGUUUGUAUAGGUGCAUUAAUUGGGCGCCGGCACAGACGCUCCCCAGGCCAUUUGAUCCCAAGCCUCAUGAUGCCUCGGACCACCAAAUCCGCAAUUCCCCAAGUUAAUUAUGUAAGCAGCAUCGAAGGUGGCCGGCAUAUAUAGGGCUGGUUCGCCAAAGAUCAGGGCAGUCAAAUUCCAUCAAAAAUGCCACCCAUAUCGGUCAGUGAAAACCAUCAAGAACCACC